UGAGGAAUAUUGGUCAAUGGGAGAGAUCCUGAACCAGCCAAGCCGCGUGAGGGAAGACGGCCCUAUGGGUUGUAAACCUCUUUUAUCGGAGAACAAAACCCGGGACGUGUCCCGGACUGCGUGUAUCCGAAGAAAAAGCAUCGGCUAACUCCGUGCCAGCAGCCGCGGUAAUACGGAGGAUGCGAGCGUUAUCCGGAUUUAUUGGGUUUAAAGGGUGCGUAGGCGGUCCGUUAAGUCAGCGGUAAAAUUGCGGGGCUCAACCCCGUCGAGCCGUUGAAACUGGCAGACUUGAGUUGGCGAGAA
rnacentral:rRNA from 1 species